GUGUGUAUAAUAUAUGUGUAAAAUGAUGCUUUAGGUGUGUGUGUAAUGUAUGUGUAAAUGAUGCUUUAGGUGUGUGUGUAAUGUAUGUGUAAAAUGAUGCUUUAGGUGUGUGUGUAAUGUAUGUGUAAAUGAUACUUUAGGUGUGUGUGUGUAAUGUACGUGUAAAAUGAUGCUUUAGGUGUGUGUGUAAUGUAUGUGUAAAUGAUACUUUAGGUGUGUGUGUGUAAUGUACAUGUAAAAUGAUGCUUUAGGUGUGUGUGUAAUGUACAUGUAAAAUGAUGCUUUAGGUGUGUGUGUAAUGUACGUGUAAAAUGAUACUUUAGGUGUGUGUGUGUAAUGUACAUGUAAAAUGAUGCUUUAGGUGUGUGUGUAAUGUACAUGUAAAAUGAUGCUUUAGGUGUGUGUGUAAUGUACGUGUAAAAUGAUGUUUUAGGUGUGUGUGUGUAAUGUACAUGUAAAAUGAUGCUUUAGGUGUGUGUGUAAUGUACAUGUAAAAUGAUGCUUUAGGUGUGUGUGUAAUGUACGUGUAAAAUGAUACUUUAGGUGUGUGUGUGUAAUGUACAUGUAAAAUGAUGCUUUAGUUGUGUGUGUAAUGUACAUGUAAAAUGAUGCUUUAGGUGUGUGUGUAAUGUACGUGUAAAAUGAUGCUUUAGGUGUGUGUGUGUGUAAUGUACGUGUAAAUGAUGCUUUAGGUGUGUGUGUAAUGUACGUGUAAAAUGAUGCUUUAGGUGUGUGUGUAAUGUAUGUGUAAAAUGAUGCUUUAGGUGUGUGUGUGUAAUGUACGUGUAAAAUGAUGCUUUAGGUGUGUGUGUGUGUAAUGUAUGUAUAAAUGAUACUUUAGGUGUGUGUGUAAUGUACAUGUAAAAUAAUGCUUUAGGUGUGUGUGUAAUGUACGUGUAGAAUAAUGCUUUAGGUGUGUGUGUAAUGUAUGUGUAAAAUGAUGCUUUAGGUGUGUGUGUAAUGGAUGUGUAAAUGA